AGCUACUGCUCAAGCCUCGGCCGCGGCUGGAAGGGCAUCAGCAUCGAGACCAGGGAGGAGAACGACUUCGUCACCGAUGUGAUCGAACACCACGAGCUGCCGUGGGUUUGGACCGGAGGCCAACGCAGGGGACGCGACUUCGUGUGGCCUUCAGGAGCCCGUUUCGUGGGUCUGAACUGGUCUCACACUGGCGGGAAGAAGCAACCGCCAACCGGACAACCGCGAGCAAAGGGG